GGGGUAGCUCAGUCGGCUAGAGCGCAGGACUCAUAAGCCUGAGGUCAUGGGUCUUGUUCCGUGUCCUAUGACCCUU
rnacentral:tRNA from 1 species